rnacentral:rRNA from 1 species
GCUGUUACAGGUUGAGGGAACUUGAUAAGCUCAAGUGACAUGUGGAAUUUGGUUUGCCAACUAGAAGGCGCUCGGCAUCGAGACGGUCCAGCAGUCCGUACACGGUGUGAUGAUAAAACUUCCAUGAAUGCAUCAGCUACAACUACUUGGAUGCGAUCGUUGUUGUGAUAAAGCUGCAGUGGUGGUGUAGGUUAUUCUUUGAGGUCUCCUAAUCUUCUACAACCUCGGCAGUGGUGGCUGCCUCUUCUUGGUUCAGGUUGAGGGAACUUGGUAAGCUCAAGGGACACGUGGAAGUUGGUUUGUCAACUAGAAGGCGCUCGACAUCGAGACCGUCCAGCAGUCUGUACACGGUGGGAUGAUAUGGGCUUACAUGACUGCCUCCUCAGCUACAACUACUUGGGUUUAGUCAUUUGCUAUGUGUUAAUGAUGAUGGUGAUUCUUGCAAAUGAUGUGCAAGGCAAAUUUCCAGAGUUGGAUGAAGAACUGUCAUACUGGAAGUUACUUGGUUGCUUCUAGUUGCUAUUGUCUAGUAGAUGAUAACUGAUUUACUAUGAUUUCUUAAGCUAUCUCUAGUGUUGUGCAUAAGUGUUAAGAGUGUAAAGUUUCACCAUGUUUUCCCAGGUAAUUUAGCUUAUUCUCUGAGGUAGCCUAAUCUUCUACAACCUCGGCAGUGGUGGCCACCUCUUCUUGGUUCAGGAAAUUUAGGUUAUUCUUUGAGGUCUAAUCUUCUACAACCUCGGCAGUGGUGGCUGCCUCUUCUUGGUUCAGGUUGGCCCUGCCAACGCACGGGCGAGCCAAAAAAUUGGCAUUGCUUUUCUGCGCCUGCGUCUUGCCGUCGCGUUGGCAAGAAAUUGAACCGGAGACCCGAGGGCAGCAUUGACAACGCAUGGGCUUUGAUCCAAACACCGCUGGGGCAGUUGGUCAACGCCAAUUAUUUGGCUUGGCAGGCUGGGGCUUCGAACCAAACUGGCUCAUAGUGACUAUUCAUCAUGGUUAUACUACUGUUGGAGGUGUGAUUCUACGGAUAUGCUUCUUGGCAAUGAGAUUAUAGCUACGGGGAGAAAAAAAAAGGUGGAAGUCGCAGGCUAAGGGAAGGGAAAGGUGAUACUCCACAUGGGAUCGAUACCAGGCUGAUGGGCUCGAUCUCAGCUGGGCAGUCGAGGAAAAACAGGGGAAGGAAGGAGGUGAAAUUAAGGCCCAAGUUUUGUUUGCCACAAGACUUGUUCCUUCAAGGGGCCAGGCCAUAUUUAUCUUGCUGCCGCGGACACAUGUUUUUUUUUAUGGUUGGUUUAUGACGAUUCACAACAAAAGUUGGCAUGCAGGCAGGUUGUAUGAUUAAGUUUGUGUGGUCUGCACUUUGGGUUGUUGUUGAUGUGUUUGUGAAACAUAGAUAUAUAUGCAAUCAAAGUGGGUGUAUGUCAAGUUUUCUUUGUUUGGUAUCGAACCCAAGGAGCGUAUACAUAUAUACUUUGAAGUUGUCGAUCGAAAUGGUUGUAUGUAUUGAACUCACUCAUCUACUGGUCCUUUCCUUGCUUAUUUAUAUUUGUGGAAUUUGCCGUGCCUC